AUUGAACGCUGGCGGCAGGCCUAACACAUGCAAGUCGAACGAGUGGCGGACGGGUGAUUAAUGUCUGGGAAACUGCCUGAUGGAGGGGGAUAACUACUGGAAACGGUAGCUAAUACCGCAUACCAUCGGAUGUGCCCAGAUGGGCUUAGCUAGUUGGGGGGGUAACGGCUCACCUAGGCGACGAUCCCUAGCUGGUCUGAGAGGAUGACCAGCGAGACAGGAACUGAGACACGGUCCGGACUCCUACGGGAGGCAGCAGUGGGGAAUAUUGCACAAUGGGGGCAAGCCUGAUGCAGACAUGCCGGGUGUAUGAAGAAGGCCUUCGGGUUGUAAAGUACUUUCAGCGAGGAGGCGAUACUCGCAGAAGAAGCGCCGGCUAACUCCGUGCCAGCAGCCGCGGUAAUAC
rnacentral:rRNA from 1 species